rnacentral:lncRNA from 1 species
AACAUCCAAAAAAAGUUGUGCCGAUAUAUGGGCUUUUAACUGGUUCGUGAGACCCAAGAUAUGGAGAAAUGGAAGGGAGGAUUAUGUACGAUAUAUAUUUAUUAUCUUCUACUUUCUAUUUUCUCUUUUUGUUAUAUUUUUUAAUUUUUUAUCAAUUAGGCCUAUGCUAAUCAUUGUUCCUAACAACUAUCUAUCAACUAAGUGGCAUCUACGAGACAUUAUUAAUAUUUUAUUUAAUUAUAAAUAAAUGUCACAUGUUGAGCAGUUUCAUAUUUUAAUUCCUAUUCAACUCUAAUGAUAUUUACCAUUAGAAAUAAUGUCAUAUAUACGUGUUACAAUAAUGUCGACAAAAUUUAUGUUUUGCAGUUCUAUAUUCAUAAAUAUGAAGAUGGACUUAUCUGUCGAUCUCUUAAAGAGGUCGAAAGGUUUGAAAAAGAUGGGACUCGUCCGGGUCGAAAAGCCAAAAAAAAUAGCCAAAAAAAAAUAAAGGUUAGUAUGAAAAUUCUUCACCAAGUUGCUUUGUAUUUUACAAGAAGUUUUUUCAAAUGAUUUGCUACUGUGGAAAAUCAAUUAUGAACUUUAAGUUAUUAUGAUUAUUUUAAAAGAUCAUUAAAUUUUUUAAAUGUAUAUUUUUUGGGGUAAAACUAUUGUGACAUUUGCUGAGAAUAUACCGUGUUGAAGGAUAGGGUGUUUUUGGUUUCGGGAAAUGUAUGGUUUUUAAGUUUGUGUGGCUUUUUCAAAUUCAGACGGGAUUUUUCACACCAUUAAGGUAUUGUGGAUGGGAACUUCUUUUGCCGUCUUACAAGUUUUUCGCACAUUUUAUUUUUACUCAUCCACUGUUUAAGUAGCAGAUUAGUAAAAAUGACAAAUUUGAGCAAAAAACAUCAUCCGCUACUUUAAGUAGCAUAUGGUGUUUGAAAAAAUUGUAGGACGGUAAAAGAAAAUCUCGUUGUAAAUAUGUUACUCCAACAUGCGUGGACCUGGAAUGACUAUGCAUAAACCACCCCUAUUUGUGUGGUCUGUUCCGGUAACAACAUUCCCACUUUUAUUAUCACUUCUGGUAUUGGCUGAGACAAUUACAAUGUUAUUAACUAUCCAAACAUGAUUCUUGUAAAGCCAAGAUACUUAAUGGCUUAUGUUUAGCUAAAAUCUUAUGACAGCCAAAAGCCUCUCAGCAAUGUUAUUAUGCAGUUGAUGUAGUUAUCUUACUAUGAGUAUGCACUAGAACACAAUAGCAUUGUUUGAUAACUUACUGAUAAAAUAUGUCAGAAAGAUCCCUUCUAGAAUAGUCUAGAAGAGUCAUUAUUCUCUUAUCCUCAUUGAUCCUAUAAAAUUUCCACUAAGUUGAACUAAUACUUAGAAAGUUGAAUUGAUUUUCCAUCCUAAUGUAAGUUAUUUGAUUUUAUUAUUUACUUUGCUGAUUUUUUUUUAAUGUAUUUAGUUGAUUGAAAUAUAAUUUAAGGGUCAUGCUAACUAAUGCCGGUUUUAAAAAAUAGAUCCACAUUUUAAGAUUUUUUAUACCUGUUUUAGUUUUUUUUUUUUUUUAAAAAAAAAUUUAUUUAGUUCUUUUACUAGUACCCCUAGGGCACUAGUUAGCAUUUUCCUAAUUAUUAUUUUUUGGGUACAAAGCAUUUUCCUAAUUUUGAUUACAUAUUUAUAGGAACAAUAUUUCACAAUUAUUUUUCCUAAUUUUGCAAUAGUCAAUGUAAUAAAAUGAUUUUAACGAUGUUUAAAAUAUGUGUUUGUUUUGCAGGUUUACCAUCAAAAUAAAAGUUAUUUCAACUUUUAAUCUUAAACUUUAUGUCAAAAAAUCUUAAACUUAUGUCCGUACUAAAACAAUAUUUAUCAGGUUGGAAUCAAACUGUAUUUGGAUUUAGAUAUUUUCUGCCUU